UACGAAUCGUCCAAACGUUACUCGGAAUCACUGGGCUUAAAGGGUGCGUAGGCCGCUCGGAGGGUGGGAUGUGAAAUCCCCCAGCUCAACUGGGGAAUAGCGUCCCAAACCGCCGGGCUUGAGGGAGACAGAGGUGAGCGGAACUGAUGGUGGAGCGGUGAAAUGCGUUGAUAUCAUCAGGAACACCAGUGGCGAAAGCGGCUCACUGGGUCUUUCCUAACGCUGAGGCACGAAAGCUAGGGGAGCGAACGGGAUUAGAAACCCCCGUAGUCC
rnacentral:rRNA from 1 species